rnacentral:rRNA from 1 species
AUGAACGCUGGCGGCGUGCCUAACCCAUGCAAGUCGCGCGAACGGACGAGAAGCUUGCUUUUCUGAUGUUAGCGGCGGACGGGUGAGUAACACGUGGAUAACCUACCUAUAAGACUGGGAUAACUUCGGGAAACCGGAGCUAAUACCGGAUAAUAUUUUGAACCGCAUGGUUCAAAAGUGAAAGACGGUCUUGCUGUCACUUAUAGAUGGAUCCGCGCUGCAUUAGCUAGUUGGUAAGGUAACGGCUUACCAAGGCAACGAUGCAUAGCCGACCUGAGAGGGUGAUCGGCCACACUGGAACUGAGACACGGUCCAGACUCCUACGGGAGGCAGCAGUAGGGAAUCUUCCGCAAUGGGCGAAAGCCUGACGGAGCAACGCCGCGUGAGUGAUGAAGGUCUUCGGAUCGUAAAACUCUGUUAUUAGGGAAGAACAUAUGUGUAAGUAACUGUGCACAUCUUGACGGUACCUAAUCAGAAAGCCACGGCUAACUACGUG